UACAGAGGUCUCAAGCGUUGUUCGGAUUCAUUGGGCGUAAAGGGUGCGUAGGCGGCGCGGUAAGUCGGAUGUGAAAUCUCGGAGCUUAACUCCGAAACUGCAUUCGAUACUGCCGUGCUUGAGGACUGGAGAGGAGACUGGAAUUUACGGUGUAGCGGUGAAAUGCGUAGAUAUCGUAAGGAAGACCAGUGGCGAAGGCGGGUCUCUGGACAGUUCCUGACGCUGAGGCACGAAGGUCAGGGGAGCAAACGGG
rnacentral:rRNA from 1 species